AUAUAGCUGAUGAGUUCCAAAUAGAACGAAACGCAUGUCCUGGAU
rnacentral:hammerhead_ribozyme from 1 species